rnacentral:lncRNA from 1 species
ACCACACUAGAUAUUUCAAGAUGGAAAUUCUAAAAUAAAGUAUUAAGUUUACUUGAGCAUAAAUCAGGUAUUAGUCAAAAUUAAAAAUAAUCUCUCAUUUGCACUCUCUUUCUUUCUCUCAUCAUCUCUCUCUCCGACUACUAUUGCCCCAUUAGUGCCUGAGUUAAGACUUUUCCUCUUCAUCACCGGAGCUUUGGCUAGCAAGGCCAACACAGCUAUGCGCGACUCGAUGGCGAUCUAACUGCCUUGCAGUGACAAUUCUAAUUAGCUUCAUCCCGGGCUAACCCAAUCAGAAAAUCGAGAUCCCAACUUAGUUUCAGAUGAGCUCGAUCCGGGAGAAGCCACCAAUGCUCCCAAUUCGUCAAACUUCAGACUUGGUGUUGGGUAGCUGGGAUUUGGCUUUGGGUUCAUCGUUGUAAGGAGGCGUGGGGCAGCGCUGUUGUCGCUGCCACACCACUAUCGACACUCACGGCGAUCGCGGCUUUCGAUCGCGACCCUGUGCCUCCAAUUUGAUGCUUUAAUGGAGUUUUGAUGUUGGUAAUUCAUUUGAUUGUUGGGUUGUUAGUGGUGAUGGUGGUAGAGCGAUUAGUUGUGGUAAAGUGCUAUAUGGUGG